rnacentral:rRNA from 1 species
UACGUAGGGUGCAAGCGUUGUCCGGAAUUAUUGGGCGUAAAGAGCUCGUAGGCGGUUGGGUAAGUCGGGUGUGAAAACUCCAGGCUCAACUUGGAGACGCCACCCGAUACUGCUCUGACUUGAGUUCGGUAGGGGAGUGGGGAAUUCCUGGUGUAGCGGUGAAAUGCGCAGAUAUCAGGAGGAACACCGGUGGCGAAGGCGCCACUCUGGGCCGAAACUGACGCUGAGGAGCGAAAGCGUGGGGAGCAAACAGG